AGAGUUUGAUCCUGGCUCAGGAUGAACGCUAGCUACAGGCUUAACACAUGCAAGUCGAGGGGAAACGACAUCGAAAGCUUGCUUUUGAUGGGCGUCGACCGGCGCACGGGUGAGUAACGCGUAUCCAACCUGCCCACCACUUGGGGAUAACCUUGCGAAAGUAAGACUAAUACCCAAUGAUAUCUCUAGAAGACAUCUGAAAGAGAUUAAAGAUUUAUCGGUGGGGGAUGGAUGGGGAUGCGUCUGAUUAGCUUGUUGGCGGGGUAACGGCCCACCAAGGCAACGAUCAGUAGGGGUUCUGAGAGGAAGGUCCCCCACAUUGGAACUGAGACACGGUCCAAACUCCUACGGGAGGCAGCA
rnacentral:rRNA from 1 species